rnacentral:rRNA from 1 species
UGCCAGCAGCCGCGGUAAUACGUAAGUGGCAAGCGUUAUCCGGAUUUACUGGGCAUAAAGCGCACGCAGGCGGCUUGUUAAGUCAGAUGUAAAAGACCACAGCUUAACUGUGGUAUACAUUUGAUACUGGCUUGCUAGAGAACAGGAGAGGAAAGUGGAACGCACGGUGUAGCGGUGAAAUGCGUAGAUAUCGUGAGGAACACCAGUUGCGAAGGCGGCUUUCUGGACUGAUUCUGACGCUGAGGUGCGAAAGCGUGGGGAGCGAACGGGAUUAGAUA